UUCCUACGGGACGCAGCAGUGGGGAAUAUUGCACAAUGGGCGAAAGCCUGAUGCAGCAACGCCGCGUGAAGGAAGACGGUUUUCGGAUUGUAAACUUCUAUCAAUAGGGAAGAAAGAAAUGACGGUACCUAAAUAAGAAGCCCCGGCUAACUACGUGCCAGCAGCCGCGGUAAUACGUAGGGGGCAAGCGUUAUCCGGAUUUACUGGGUGUAAAGGGAGCGUAGACGGUUAUGCAAGUCUGAAGUGAAAGCCCAAGGCUCAACCAUGGGACUGCUUUGGAAACUGUAAAACUGGAGUGCAGGAGA
rnacentral:rRNA from 1 species